rnacentral:piRNA from 1 species
UCGAGAUGCGUUUCGAAAGAUUGCAGGAGA